AGUCGAACGGCAGCGCGAGAGAGCUUGCUCUCUUGGCGGCGAGUGGCGGACGGGUGAGUAAUAUAUCGGAACGUGCCCAGUAGCGGGGGAUAACUACUCGAAAGAGUGGCUAAUACCGCAUACGCCCUACGGGGGAAAGGGGGGGAUCGCAAGACCUCUCACUAUUGGAGCGGCCGAUAUCGGAUUAGCUAGUUGGUGGGGUAAAGGCUCACCAAGGCAACGAUCCGUAGCUGGUUUGAGAGGACGACCAGCCACACUGGGACUGAGACACGGCCCAGACUCCUACGGGAGGCAGCAGUGGGGAAUUUUGGACAAUGGGGGAAACCCUGAUCCAGCCAUCCCGCGUGUAUGAUGAAGGCCUUCGGGUUGUAAAGUACUUUUGGCAGAGAAGAAAAGGUAUCCCCUAAUACGGGAUACUGCUGACGGUAUCUGCAGAAUAAGCACCGGCUAACUACGUGCCAGCAGCCGCGGUAAUACGUAGGGUGCAAACGUUAAUCGGAAUUACUGGGCGUAAAGCGUGUGUACGCGGUUCGGAAAGAAAGAUGUGAAAUCCCAGGGCUCAACCUUGGAACUGCAUUUUUAACUGCCGAGCUAGAGUAUGUCAGAGGGGGGUAGAAUUCCACGUGUAGCAGUGAAAAGCGCAUAUAUGUGGAGGAAUACCGAUG
rnacentral:rRNA from 1 species